ensembl:lncRNA
CCCGGGGGUCUGCAGCAGAAGCUGCUCCAAGGCUCCCCCGGCCUCACGCCGCAGCACCGCUCUGACAGGGACAGGGGUGGCCGCCUCCCGCCCGAGCCGCUUCUUCUCCCCCCGGUGCCGGGGGCGUUGAGGAGCCUGGCUCCCCGCUGGCAGAGGCCUUGAGGCCUGCCCCCUGAGGUGCACACCCUGCCUUUGUUCAGCGGGCGGGAGGGGAUGUACCCCGUUGCACCGAUGGCGCCGAGUGCCAUGGCGGCGGAGGGACCGCAACGCUAGGCCGCAGCUGGAGAAUGAAUCUGUUAGUGCAGCGUCUCCCGGGACUCCCCCGGCUCCCCGGCCAUCUGCGGGUCAAUGAGAGACAACCGGUAGCAUCUGGCAGCCAUAGUCGCAGGAGGAAAGAGAAAGGGAUGAUGAUGUUCCCAUACAGCAACGUGGAUCUGGCAGGAAGGCUAAUUAAUGCGAUGUGGAAAAAGAAUACACCAAAGUGGCAUAACCUCCACACUGGGAGCUUCACAUCUUCGUCUUGGACUCUGCAUUUUGCUCAGCAGCAUCCUCAGCAUUUGCUCUGCGCGUGACAUCACCUGUGACAAACUCCUAGAGGCUGCCUGGGAUGUACAGUCGUUAGUAAGACAUUGUGAAGGUAAAAGGUUUGUGAAAGCAUAACUCAGAGCAUAAACUGCUGUGAAGAAUCUUAAUUGUUGUUGAAGAAGCAGAAAGAACCCCAAAUAGAGUUGAGGGUGAGGUUGUGAGUUAGAAAAAACGCUGUAUCUUCUUUUCUUUUAAACUGAAAGAAAUCUGGUAUUUGCAUCUGCAAGAGAAGAACUAGAAGCCCAAAGCGACACAGUACUGAACAACCUUCAAAUAACUAUCUUGAGCUGUAAUGGGAUGAUAAUAACGCACUCUGGUCUUCACAGGGCAAGUUAGUGAUUCAGUCGCUGUGUGUUGCAGGUGGCUCACUGCUCCACCCAGGUAUAGAAGAGGAUGGUGUGGCUCUUGUAGGAGAAGUGAUCCUUCAGAAUUAAAAAGUUUGAAUUCAGAACACCUAAAAGCAGUAGUCAAACUGCAAGAGUUUUCUGUGCAUCUCUUUUAAUGACAGGAAAGCUUUAGGAAGGGGGCAACUUGACCUGCACAGACUUUUUUUUUCUCUUUGAGUCAGUGGAAAUGAUGGUACCAGAACAGGGGUAAGAGCUAGUGUGUUGUAUGAUCAUACCAACACACACACCCACACUCAACUUCACACAGCUUUUGAAGUCACAAGGAUGUUACGUUUGAUGGGUUCCUGCUGGGGAUGAGGGUGUAGAGGGAUGGCUUCAGGCUGCCAAGUCAUACAACUCUACUUGGAUGGCUUUGUGUCAAGGAACAGUAAUGAGUGAACUCACUGGGCCACUACAUUGUAUAGAGCAGCAAAACUAGCUCCCUGGUUUGCUCCGCUGAAAAUAAUUAAGAGGAACAAGUUUUAUAGUUUCAUAAAAACAAUCUGACUUUCUGACACAAGAACAUACAAUUUGUCUCUUACUUCCCAAACUAAUCAUCUUUCCUAAACAAGAUGCUAUAUUUGUUGCCUGCCAUUUUGUCUGGUCGUUAAUAAAUGGUUAGUUUACACAGAUGGAUGGGUUUAC